rnacentral:rRNA from 1 species
UGGGGAAUCUUGCGCAAUGGGGGAAACCCUGACGCAGCGACGCCGCGUGCGGGAUGAAGGCCUUCGGGUUGUAAACCGCUUUCAGCAGGGACGAGGCCUUAUGGUGACGGUACCUGCAGAAGAAGCUCCGGCUAAAUACGUGCCAGCAGCCGCGGUAAUACGUAUGGAGCAAGCGAUAUCCGGAUUCAUUGGGCGUAAAGCGCUCGUAGGCGGUCUGUUAGGUCGGCAAGUUAAAUCCGGGGGCUCAACCCCCGUCCGCUUCCGAUACCGGCAGACUUGAGUUUGGUAGGGGAAGGUGGAAUUCCUAGUGUAGCGGUGGAAUGCGCAGAUAUUAGGAAGAACACCGGUGGCGAAGGCGGCCUUCUGGGCCAUAACUGACGCUGAGGAGCGAAAGCUAGGGGAGCGAACAGG